rnacentral:rRNA from 1 species
UACGUAGGGGGCUAGCGUUAUCCGGAAUUACUGGGCGUAAAGGGUGCGUAGGCGGUCUUUCAAGCCAGAAGUGAAAGGCUACGGCUCAACCGUAGUAAGCUUUUGGAACUGUAAGACUUGAGUGCAGGAGAGGAGAGUGGAAUUCCUAGUGUAGCGGUGAAAUGCGUAGAUAUUAGGAAGAACACCAGUGGCGAAGGCGGCUCACUGGCCCGGUACUGACGCUGAGGCGCGAAAGCGUGGGGAGCAAACAGG